rnacentral:rRNA from 1 species
ACGUACGCUGGCGGCAUGCCUAACACAUGCAAGUCGAACGAGAUCUUCGGAUCUAGUGGCGCACGGGUGAGUAACGCGUGGGAACCUGCCUUUCUCUGCGGGACAACGGUUGGAAACGACCGCUAAUACCGCAUACGCCCUACGGGGGAAAGGCCGGGAUCUUCGGACCGGUCACUAUUGGAUGAGCCUGCACUUGAUUAGUUUGUUGGUGGGGUAAUGGCCUACCAAGACUGUGAUCAAUAGCUGAUUUGAGAGGAUGAUCAGCCACAUUGGGACUGAGACACGGCCCAAACUCCUACGGGAGGCAGCAGUGGGGAAUAUUGG